rnacentral:lncRNA from 1 species
UGGAAGGUAUAACGGACCCUGUAGGUAAAACGGACCGGACUAAUAACUUUCAAACGUGUAUCGCCAUCUAUUAUCGACUUGCGUCAACUUGACAGUCGCCUCUCACUCGGCAUCGGUCAGUGUUUUUGGAGCGGUCGUGCAGCGGCACACGUUUUUAUCAAGAUGGUUAACAACUAUAAAAGGAAGUCGGACCGGCAAUCCUGGCGUGAGGAGGACAUGAAAAAUGCCAUUGAAAAAGUAGCUACGCGCAAAAUGGGGCUUAACAAAGCGGCCGCCACAGUUAAUGUUCCAAAGACUACAUUAAUGAAGUCUUUGGAACAUUAAAUGUGGCUUACCAAAUAUGAGAGCACUAAAGACUUAACUGUAGCUACGGAAAAGAAAAUGGGCAGGUAUGGAAAGGUUUUUAACGUCGAUCAAGAGAGAGAACUAGCAUCCUAUGUCAAAAAUAUGGAAAAUCGCUUUUUUGGUUUAACCACGUGUCGAAGAUGAUGAUGAAGAUGUUAGAUUUGUUUGCGAAAGGUGUGUCGUUGACUAGUUAACUACUACAAGUUUUUUUUUAUUCUUAUAUUGCCAUAGGUCCAUUUUGCCUUCAUGCCUGGUCCGUUUUACCUUAACGUGUAGGCAGAAUGGACCAAACCGAAGGUUUUGGAAAUCAUCCAAUAUCUUCUUUAACUGUGAUUUGAUUCAAGUGUUCCUCAAUAAUAAGUAAGAUUAAUAAAUGCUCAAACUUAUAAUAACAAAGAAAGAAGAAUAAAGAUAUUAUUUUUUGUGUUA